AUUUGAACUCCCUCAGCUCUUGGAACUGUUGACCUGGAAUCAACCACUUAGAGAAGCAUGGGAGCAGCAUUUGUCAUACACACCACCAAUGAGAGUUUCUUAAACAUGGUCCUGAGAACAGAUGGAAAACAAAAUUUGAACCUAUAGUCCAUGACACUUCUGACAACAGGAAAAGUCCUAAGUAGAUUCUUUCAUCACUAGCCGUAUGGGGGACAGGGAUGUGACUCCUUGAGUUCUUGAGUAUGCUGGUGCUUCUGCCCCCCUACAUAUCCAAGAGCUACCUCUGAGAAACAGGAUUUACAAGUUGGGAGCUGCAGUUUCUAUAUGAAGAAAGUCAGUAGAAGUAAGACAUGUUGCAGAACUUCAGUAUGGAGGAUCUCCUCCUUGCAAGCUCAUACUUCAAAGGAGAGCUGUCCGGUGCCUGGCAGUCAGUCACAGAAAAAGGGUGUGGUGGAGAGAAGCAGUGGGCAGACAAAGUUGCAACCUUCAAGUACUCCACAGUGACCAGCAACAGGAACAAAACCAGUCAGCCUUUUCCAGAAUUUACUCUUGAAAUUUCAGUUGAGAUAAAGCCUGGGUUUAUAUGAAGUAGUUCACAUCUUGCUGGUGUACAUUUGUGAUCUCAUAAUUGGGGAAUACUUAUGAAAACUGAAAGAGGUGGAGAUACAGUUAACUCAGACUAGG
rnacentral:lncRNA from 1 species